CGCUGCGGAGAUAAAAACACGACCCCGUCGGGUAGUCGGGGUGCGGCGCGCCGCUCCGUUCCGCAUGCGGACGCUCGGGGCUUUUCGAUCCGCCGUCAGUAACCUGCCUCCUUGGUUGUCCCUUCUCCGCAUGGUUUGC
rnacentral:ncRNA from 1 species